rnacentral:rRNA from 1 species
GAAAGACCCCGUGAACCUUUACUAUAGCUUGACACUGAACAUUGAGCCUUGAUGUGUAGGAUAGGUGGGAGGCUUUGAAGUGUGGACGCCAGUCUGCAUGGAGCCGACCUUGAAAUACCACCCUUUAAUGUUUGAUGUUCUAACGUGGACCCGUGAUCCGGGUUGCGGACAGUGUCUGGUGGGUAGUUUGACUGGGGCGGUCUCCUCCUAAAGAGUAACGGAGGAGCACGAAGGUUGGCUAAUCCUGGUCGGACAUCAGGAGGUUAGUGCAAUGGCAUAAGCCAGCUUGACUGCGAGCGUGACGGCGCGAGCAGGUGCGAAAGCAGGUCAUAGUGAUCCGGUGGUUCUGAAUGGAAGGGCCAUCGCUCAACGGAUAAAAGGUACUCCGGGGAUAACAGGCUGAUACCGCCCAAGAGUUCAUAUCGACGGCGGUGUUUGGCACCUCGAUGUCGGCUCAUCACAUCCUGGGGCUGAAGUAGGUCCCAAGGGUAUGGCUGUUCGCCAUUUAAAGUGGUACGCGAGCUGGGUUUAGAACGUCGUGAGACAGUUCGGUCCCUAUCUGCCGUGGGCGCUGGAGAACUGAGGGGGGCUGCUCCUAGUACGAGAGGACCGGAGUGGACGCAUCACUGGUGUUCGGGUUGUCAUGCCAAUGGCACUGCCCGGUAGCUAAAUGCGGAAGAGAUAAGUGCUGAAAGCAUCUAAGCACGAAACUUGCCCCGA